GCCCAGACUGUGGCCCGUUUCUGAAGGCCGCUCAGAUGGGUUCAAAGUUGGGGCAGCCCAGACCAAACCUUCGGGCCCACUUGUAGUGUACCGCCGGAGGCUCGGGGAAAACACACCAGCAACAGGGCGCAACAAGUUUAGCGGUAAAGCCAACACACACGCUGGAGGCCCAGCCAGAAGGCAGCAGCAGGUGCUGGACUGUCCACUGUUCUUCAGCAGCGCAGGUCAGGACAGCAGUGGGGAGCGGUGGUCAGCGUUCUGGACUUUUAACAGCUCGGUUGUGUGUUCAGACCCCAGGAAGAGCAAAGGAGGCAGGGAGGGGACCAUUUAUAGUCUUCCCAGCCAGAGCACUUGAUCUUGACAAGCUACACCAAAGGAAGAAGGCCCCUCCAAUAAGGCGUAAAGCGCUCCAGCAAACACAGCGAUUCCCACACACACACACUCGCACUCUCAUGCCUCUCACUGCGGGCCACGAAUGACCUCAUCUGUUACUCCAGCGCUGCGCCAGGCGGUGAUGUCAUGGUCCGAAUCAGGAGGGAUCAUCUGCCAGAGAGAUCCAGGGGCACCGGGAAGACCCCCCUCUUUCUGGUACAGAGGGGAUUACAGCACAGGGCUUUUGAUAAAUCACACAUCCCUAGAGAAGCUGCCAGGCUGGGCAGUGGGCUCACUGGUCCCCCUACCUCUGGCUUGGCUGUGAUGGAAAGGCGGUGUGGCGAUUGUUUUUUGGGGUGCAGUCAGGAACUCAGAGGGCCUGCACUCUGAAAGCCCUGUGGAUUAACAUUCAUUGAUCUUCCAAGUGGAAACUGAUAUACUUCUCCCCGUCUUUUCACUGCUGGUUUUCUAGUCCUUCAUAAAUAAUGCUCGGGCCCCAGGUUUAUGUACUGUACAGACAGCACCUGUCGUUAGACAUAAAAUGUCUAUAUUCUAUUUCUGUUGCU